UCUAAUUGCAAUAACCAAGUAAUAUAUAUACCUCCAGCGAUUGAACCUGUAUUUGUUUUGGACGGAGUUCUGCAAUUUUCUCCGGGUGAAGGAGGAUUUGAUGUGGAUCUUUUACUUAUCAAGAACACUGCAGAAGUCGAACCUGUGGCCAAUCGUUUCGGUAUUUUCAUUUGUCUUACGAGGGCUGCAUAUUAAGGUCAGAUGCUUUUUAAGUUCUGUCCUGAACGCCGGUUUCACGUAUCCGAUUAAAUUCUAUCCUGGCAUCUGUACCGUAUAAGAACGAACACCAGCUCAUUAUCAAGCACCCGAGAUAACAAAGGGGCGGCCAUUUUGUUACAUCGAACGAGGUCAUUGGGUCAGCGGGAAGUAAUUAUAACAAGACUUUUUUUACUGGGAUCUAAUAAAUUUUCAUCGAUACUU